rnacentral:rRNA from 1 species
UACGUAGGGUGCGAGCGUUAAUCGGAAUUACUGGGCGUAAAGCGUGCGCAGGCGGUUUUGUAAGACUGUCGUGAAAUCCCCGGGCUUAACCUGGGAAUGGCGUUUGAAACUACGGAGCUGGAGUAUGGCAGAGGGGGGUGGAAUUCCACGUGUAGCGGUGAAAUGCGUAGAUAUGUGGAGGAACACCGAUGGCGAAGGCAGCCCCCUGGGCCAAUACUGACGCUCAUGCACGAAAGCGUGGGGAGCAAACAGG